CAAAGUAAGUGUUUCAUCCUGUCACUUGCUUCUGCCAUGAUGUGCCACCACUGUCUGGAGACCAAAGUAAAGGGUUAUCUGAUCUUGGACUGGAACCCACAGAAUCAUGAACCAAACAACCUCUUUGAAAUUAAUUUCUUUAGGCCUUUCAUUACAGUAAUGCAAAGCUGAUUGUCAAACCAUGUUCCCAACCAGCUUUUUCUAAAAUGUAAACUAACAUAUGUUAACCAUACAAGGAGUUUACACCAUGCCUGUUCCAUAGAUGUGUAUAAUACCUAACCAACGUUUUGUGGACACACUCAGAUUCUCAUAACAUUCUGCUAAAAAAAAACAACAUAGUUUAAGAAGAAAAAAAUUAUAAAGCACCAGAUCGUACAAAGUCCUUUUAUGAAUCUAUGCUAUUCAAGGAGUGUUGUUUUAGGUGGUUGGAUUUUUUUUUUUAACUUUGCUUACUAGCAAUUUCUUGAGUGUUUCCUCUGUGCUAGAGAACAGGAUUAUAUAAUGUUAUUUAAGCCCUGUAAGCCACUAAGAAUCUUUUUGGUUUUAGUUGAACAGAUAAGGAGACUGAAGUGUGGCAUGCAACUAUGGUGCUGGUCAUACCCUAAAGGAAACCAACCAGGCAGGGCUGUCCAGCUGCUUUCUGCUCUUAACCUUUCCUCCACUUUGGUUUCCAGAAUCUUUCCUGAUUAAAACUAACCAGAAUCUCCAUAGUGGAAGUCAUUCAGUAUAGAAGUACUGGGAAAAUAAGAUAUUUUAAAGCCUUUCUGCAAGUAGAUAUGUCAAAGAUCUCUAAAAAAAAGAGGUUUCCUUGGAGUGCUGGUAAAAAGAGAGGGAGAACACAAAUGGAGGGAAAUAGGUGAGCAAAUAUAGUUAUUACAUUUAGUGUAUAUUAUGGAAGAUUGAAUUACAUAAUCUGAG